rnacentral:rRNA from 1 species
GACGAAGGGGGCUAGCGUUGUUCGGAAUUACUGGGCGUAAAGCGAGUGUAGGCGGUUGUUAUAGUCAGGUGUGAAAGCCUUGAGCUCAACUCAAGAAAUGCACUUGAUACUGAACAGCUAGAGUACCGGAGAGGAUAGUGGAAUUCCCAGUGUAGUGGUGAAAUACGUAGAGAUUGGGAAGAACACCAGUGGCGAAGGCGGCUAUCUGGACGGUUACUGACGCUAAGACUCGAAAGCGUGGGGAGCAAAC